rnacentral:rRNA from 1 species
CCCUUAGAUGUCCUGGGCUGCACGCGCGCUACACUGACGAACUCAACGAGCUUAUCACCUUGGCAGAGAUGUCUGGGUAAUCUUUUGAAAGUUCGUCGUGCUGGGGAUAGAUGAUUGUAAUUAUUCGUCUUGAACGAGGAAUUCCUAGUAAGUGUGGGUCAUCAGCUCGCGCUGAUUACGUCCCUGCCCUUUGUACACACCGCCCGUCGCUCCUACCGAUUGAAUGGUCCGGUGAGGUUCUCGGAUUUUUUCUGUUGUUUGGUUCGCUAAACGAUUGAAGAGAGAAGUUACCCAAACCUUACCAUUUAGAGGAAGGAGAAGUCGUAACA